rnacentral:rRNA from 1 species
AUUGAACGCUGGCGGCAGGCCUAACACAUGCAAGUCGAACGAGUGGCGGACGGGUGAGUAAUGUCUGGGAAACUGCCUGAUGGAGGGGGAUAACUACUGGAAACGGUAGCUAAUACCGCAUACCAUCGGAUGUGCCCAGAUGGGAUUAGCUAGUAGGUGGGGUAAAGGCUCACCUAGGCGACGAUCCCUAGCUGGUCUGAGAGGAUGACCAGCCACAAUGGGACUGAGGAACGGUCCAUACUCCUACGGGAGGCAGCAGUGGGGAAUUUUUGCCAAUUGGGGCAAGCCUGAUGCAGCCAAGCCGGGGGUAUGAAGAAGGCCUUCGGGUUGUAAAGUUCUUUUAGCGGGGAGGCGUUACCCGCAGAAAAAGCAACGGCUAACUCCGUGCCAGCAGCCGCGGUAAUAC